UAUUUAUUUUCAAACAGUAAUCUAGAUUACCUUUAACAAUGUCAGAACUAGAACAAUGGAUUCUAACAGAAAGCAGGUGGUUUAGUUUUCACUGUGUAAUGCAACAAAUGAUUUUACUUCAUGUCAAUUUGUUCCACUGCAACUACUAUGCAGCUGCAAUUUCUAAUUUAUCAUGCUUUUAAUUUAUAAGAAGGAAAAUUGGAUAUUCUUUUUAAAUGAAAAUAUCAAAUGGAGGGGAAAAAAAGGCCAGAAGAGUUAUCUCCGCAGGUGGCACUACUGAGUAAACAAUGCUACCAGUCUGCUGACUACAAUAUUACACAGUAUAUUCAGGGAAUAUUUGGUUUAAAUCAAUGUUUUUAACCUGUUAUUAUAUGAAAGUUAUUUUUUAACAGGAAGAAAUGUUUAUGGAUAAUUUAGUUAUUAUUAUAGAUCAUUAUACCCUUUAUUGAAACAGCAGAGCAUUAUAUCGAAAAUUCAGCAAAAAUACACAUAUUAAGCAGCUUUUUGUUAUUUAUAGGUACUUUUAUUGUAACUUCUUCUUUUGUUAAUUCUGACAUCUUUAACUACAUUUAUCACUUAGUCUAAUUCUUUUCAAUAUUAAAAAUGAUUUUCAAAUUUUCAACAAAAAAAAGUAGCAUCUUUAAUAAUGGGAAUUGCAUGUCUAGUCCAAGACUAUUAUAACUUUUUAGAAUUUUUAUUUUUAGAAUUGUGAUUAGAGCCAGUCUAUAAUUAUCUAAGGUACAAUAUCAUAUGAUAAUAUUAAAAUCUGUAAAUUAGACUGGCAUUUGUCACAAUAACAUAAAUUUUUAAAAAUCACAUUUUUUUCAAUUUUGUGACAAGUUCUUUAUUAUCAAUCUUGCGGCUAGUCUAGUCUAGUCCACCUACUUAUGAUAGUCUUUGUCUAAUAUUUACCCAUUUCAACAAAAUAAACUGGAAUGUACAAGUAAAUAAAAUUUCUAUGUUCAAGGUUAAAUGUAAAGAUUUACCUGUUUUCCCUUUAGGAGUCUUACAGAAUAUUGACAUAUAUUUGCAAUGUUCAGGGAGAUUAUUUGAGCCUAUCAUACUUUAACUUAUGGAAAAUAUAUCAAACUUUCCAUGACAUUAAAAAGUGAAAAAAGUAUAAACAGUACUGUCAACUGAUGAAUGCAUCAAAGACAUUUUUUGGCCUCAUUAUUCAUCACAAUGUACAGUUUCAAUUUUAGAUCAUUAUACCCAAUAAUAAGCUAUGAAAAAAUUAUAGACAUCUAAGUGUUAAAUUAAAUCUAUUUUUCAGGUAUAGCAUCAAAUGUGUAUAUAAAGUAUCAGCACACAUGAAUGAAUUGAGCUAUGUUUAGUGACCCAAUGUAUUGUGUUCAAAGGCUCCAUCCAACAGUUCAAAGACAUGUCAUAGCAGUGGAGCAAAUGAUGGCUUUGUGGUGGUUAGUGAAAAACUGUGGCAAUCUACAUUGGUGGUGACAAACACUGACAGAAAAUUUCUGGACCAGCAGUGACAUUAAGUUGAAAAUAAUGACAUAUUUUACACUGUACUGAAGAUGUAAUUGCGAAAAUUAUUUAAGAAAUAAUAUAUCUCAUUCAGUGAUUUGUCGCUGAAUAAAUCAUUGUUUGGAGUUCAGAUGCGAAGGAAUUAAAUCACGAUGGCGCAACAUUACUGAAAGGAUUUUCUUCAGACUUUCGCAAGUGAACAAUCUUGACGGGUAGAUACAACUACAAUUACAUUGCAUCCAAAAUCAGUGGCACAGAAACCGUUAUGAAACCGGUAUGGGACUAUGUAUUGCCUUGCAGUACUUCAGCAGCUUGUUGUUUUAUAUGUGUAACCUGUAAAUGAUUAUUGGUGUGUUUUAUAAAGUUAAGAAGUCCUAGAUGAAAUUUUUAGUUUUUAACUUUAGCCUCACCUAUGGACAUGCACUGCUUAGGGGAGCUCAUUUGUGAUCAUCCUUUGUCCAAGACCGUGAAUCAAACCUACAACCUGCUGCACACAGCAUUUUCAUUUAGGAUAUAAUCAUAUGGGGUAAAACUUUUUGCUAUUUCAGGGCCCUUAGAACUAGGCUGGAAUAUUUUCCAGGUUAUACCAGGCUCAUUUUCCAGCAUUCCCUGGAAAAUUUACCAUGGUAAAACCUGGAACAUUUUCCAGCCUAAUCCAGGCUAUGCUGGAAAAUGUUCCAGGCUUUUCCAGACUUUGGUUAAAAAACUGUCCGAAUACUCCAGGUUCAUGGAAAAACAGGAAUUUUAUUCCAGGCAGCCUGGAAGAUGUUCCAGAUUUUACCAUGGUAUAUUUUCCAGGGAUGCUGGUAUAUCAUGGUACAUAUUCCAGCCUUGGCUUUUUCAAAUUUUCCGCAUUGAUAAUUUGGUUAGGCUGGAAAAGGCUGGAAACUUAGUCCGAAUACUCCAGGCUUUUUUUUCCCAUGGAAUUCCAUGGUAAACCCUGGAACUAUUUCACCCGGGUAGU
rnacentral:lncRNA from 1 species